AUAAAUCAUCUGGGUACCUUGUUAAAAUACAGAUUCUGAAUCAGGGUAGGGCCCGAGAGUCUGUAUUUCUAACCAGCUCUUGAGUGGCACUGAU
rnacentral:pre_miRNA from 1 species